rnacentral:lncRNA from 1 species
AUGGAGUUCCCAGGCCAGGGAUCAUAUCAAAGCUACAUUUACAACCUAUACCACAGCUGCAGCAACUCCAGGCCCUUUAACCCACUGUGCUGCGCCAGGGAUUGAAUCUGCAUCCUGGCGCUGCAGAGACACUGCUGAUCUCAUUGCACCACAGUUGGGAACUCCACCCAUAUAGGUUUUGAUGCACUGUCUUGUUCAAAGAUGAGAUACCAAAUAUGUACUUUUUGUAUCAAUAAACAUUUGAACCCUAAAGUGAAUAUUAAACAUCUAUUUUAAAGUAUAAAACAGAUAUAUUUUUAGUAAAAUGGCAAGCAUAUAGCACCUAUGGGAUAGGACAGUCUUUACUAGACUGAAAUUCUUGUCAAUAUAAGUGUCCCUUUACUUAUAAGUGUGCCGUCACGCUUGGGAAGUGCCAGAGGGGCACUUGGAUAAAUUGAUUCACCUGUAUGGUAGCUGACAGUGCUUGGUUUUUGUUUUGUUUUGUGCUUUGCUUUUUAGGGCUGUACUUGUGGUAUAUGAAAGUUCCCAGGGGUCAGAUUGGAGCUGCAGCUGCCAGCCUACACCACAGGCAAGCAACUCAGAAUCCGAGAUCCAUCUGCAACCUACAUUACACACUGGGUGGGGCCAGGGAUCUAACCUGCAUCCUCAUGGACACUAGUCAGGUCUGUAACCUGCCGAGCCACAACAGGAAGUCCUGACAAACCAUGCCUUGAGAUGUGAGCCAGAUUUAUGGAAAACAAAAGAGAAAGGAGGAACCUGGAGGGUUACCCUCGGGAAAUAUACCAUCUGUCACACAUGAUGGGAACACUGGCUCUCGAUUUCAGCUGCACAUUACAAUCCCCUGGGAGCUUUUAAAAAAAAUCCAGAUGCCCAGGCUGCACCAAGGCCAAUUAAAUCAGGAUUUGGGGGAGAUGGGACUUAAUUGUAGGACUGUUCUGAAAGCUCCCCAGGUGAUCCCGAUCACUCUGACCAAACUCUCCCUUAGCUGUUGGAAUUUAGGAAGGUCAUCAAGAGAACAAGGAAAAGGAAGCACGUAAUUUCCCCUCAUGAAACUGUGUGACUGUGGGUACACAGUCUAAUUCCUGACUGCCAGAUUAAGAUAUGAACCCAAUUAUGUUCAUUUUAUUACACUGAAAAAAAAAUGGAGCCAUCAUUUUAUUUUAAUUUACCCAACUGCUAAAAGAAUAACGUAUGCCAGUGUCAAUAUGCCAAACCUAAUACAUUUCAUAUGAAAGGCAUCUAUUUAUGAGUUGUAGCAGGAUUGGAAAACUGCCAAUGCACAUUUUCCAACAGAUCUAGGAGGCUUAGCAGGUAGUAAGCUGAGCUGGCAUUGAGGGCCCUGUGUUAAUGAAAACACAGAACUCUGCUUUCCUAACUAUACAUAAUUGGGAAAUGAGAGUUUACGGUUCCGGAGGUUUUCCAUGCACCUCACAUCAUCUGGGCAUAAUGAAAAACUGACACCUAAGUGCCCAAGUGUCCUGAGAACACUGUGCAAAUGCUACACAGAGAAGCACAGCUGCUCAACCAAAUGGAGAACAAAAACACAGCAAUGCACAAUGAACGAGUAAGUAAAACCCCUAUAAAUUAAUUCAUUCUGGCAUAAUACCCUAAAUCCUUAAAAAAAAAAAAAAGCAACAGGAAUCCUUUUUCAUAGAACACUCAAGGGUAACCAAUGUAACAAAGUGGUUAAUGACAAUGUAAGACUAAAAUAAAAACCAACAAACCACUCUUUCUGGAUUCAUAUUACUGAGAUGAGAAGUGAACACAUUUCUAGAAAAGCUCACUUAGUUUCAGUGGUGAUAAAUUAUCUUUUCUUUCAUUCAGCUGAUAUGACUUGGGCCUGACUCUCUUGACCUUAUGGGUAGCUGAGCCGGAUGUUCAUAGGAAGGUAUCACAGAGGCUGUAUCUUUACAGGAAAAAAAAUUUUUCUUUUUAAUUAUAAAAGUGAAGCAAAUAAAACAAGCAAACAGAAGGAAGAUGAACUAACCUUAAUCCCUCAACCUUCAGAUAAUAAAACAGAUGUAUCUGCAAUAGCAUCUCUUUUUAGAAUCAGAAAGUGGGGCUUCUCCAGAUCUUUGGCCAGCAGAUGAAAUCAGCUUUCAUUCAGGCAACCUCACUAAACGUUUUCAGAUGCUGUUACACUAGUACUCACCCCACUGUCCAAAUCAGAAGCCCAGGCAAUGCCAUUGUCCUCUUCUUUCACUGCAAACUCACUUCUCUUCCCUUCCCAAAUCCUCAAUGUCCCUCAAAGAAACCCUCCUUUCUCCUCCCUCACUAGCAGCACUCUGCAGGAAUCAUCAGAAUACCCAUUUUGGUUUCCUUGCCCCUGGGUUUCUUCCUCUUCAAUCCUUCUAACACAGGCAUAGGAGUCUCUCUAAAAUGCAAAUGCAAAUCACAAUGUAACCUGCUCCAUAAACUUCUCAAGGCUUUUAGGAUGGGAUGACGUCAUGAUCCCACAGCCUAGUUCACAGGGCCUCCAUCUCCCCAACUUCUUCUGUCUCCACUCUCCAUCUUGAACUCAAGGUCACAGCCAUAGUGUCUUUUUUUUUUCCCUUUUGACUGCCACACCUACAGCAUAUGGAAGUUCCCAGGCUAGAGGUUGAAUUGGAGCUGCAGCUGUAGGCCUACAUCACAGCCAUUGCAACACAGGAUCUGAGCCCCAUCUUCGACCUACUCUACAGCUUGCAGCAAUGCUGGAUAAUUAACCCACUGGGCGAGGCCGGAGAUUGAACCUGCAUCCUCACAGAGAUAACACACACACUGGUUCCUUAAUCCAUUGAGCCACAGUGGAAUCUCCCAUAUUUUCCUUUCAAAGCUGGAAUUAGACCUCUGGGCCUUCAGAGACACUCUUUCCUGUGCGUGAAUACUUCUCCCCCCUAUCCCUCACCAUCAGUCUAGUUAUCCUUUAACUUUUUGCAUAAAACUCUCUUUCCCAAGAAAGCUUUUUAUGAUCCCUAAAAUCGAUUAGAUCCCCUGGAUCUUGGUUCCUUAGUGCCUGUUUCCCCAUUAUAACACGUAGCACCUGGUGUGCACUGAUUUGUUUAGUAGCUCUGCCAUCCUCCCCAAAGGCUAUAAGAAGCUGUGUGAGGGUCGGGGGUCUGUCUAUCUUUUCAUGAUGGUGUGCACAGGAAAGUAUGUAGUCUAUAGUCAAUUUCCCAAGUAAUGUUUUCUAAACUAUUAGAAAUUUAGAUACUCUUUUGUUGUCCAUUGUCUUUCUUCCCAAUAAGUUUUGCAAGCAUAUUUCACCAUAAAAGAUACUCAGGUUAAAAUCUUGAUGGACCAGAUUCAUGGUUUUUGACAAUUAAGUUUUCCGAACAUCAGUUUCAUUAAUAUAAAAUGAAUAUGGUAAUCUGCCUUGUAAAGUAGUUGUCAAGCUUUUAGAGAUAAGAUGACCCAUAACAGACAUUCCUUAACAUGGGAACCAUGGCUAUUGCCCCCAUCUCUGCAGCCACCUCCACCAUCUCCCUGAAUAAAUCCAGAGAAAGUAAUGAAAAGGCUCUCUAAAUAUCAAUGCUGUUUUAGAUAAUCACAUGUAUUCAUUCACAUUACUAUAGCCGUAUCUCCCAUUUUGAAUUAAUACAUAUCUUUAAAUCUUAUCCUUGUUGUUAUAACUUUUUCAGUGUGGAUUCAUCCAAUAACGGUUCACUGGCUUUCUUAUAUGUGUAUGAUGCAUAGUGGUAGCCUUCCUUUAGAAAAAGCUAUAGAUUUUUUUUCAUGCAGAGUCCCAAUCUUCUCUAAGUGCACUCAGAAUAUCCUCAUGUCAAAAUCUUGAACAAUCAUCUAACUAUUCCAGCCAGAGUCACAACUACUAAAAUACCCUGACUGGAACACCAUUUUGCUACUCUUCCUUUUCCAUACAUGUGCCUCUUCAGGGGGGACACACAGAGAAUUGUGGGGUAAGACAGGGACGCUCCAAGUUAAUAAAAGGGCCAAAGCCACUCUAGAAGGUACUAGGAAUCUGCUUUCUCAUAGAUGGAACACAUAACUCACGCUCCUGUGCAUGGUGAGGACUUUCCAUGGCUCAUCCCCUCCUUGGCCCACGGCACUGACUGUGAGUGCCUCAGAGGUGGCAGUUGGCCAUUUUCCAUCCCAGUGUCUGCCUCUGUGCCUAGAACAGUGGCUUCUGGCAGGAGAGAUCAUUAAAUGUGUGUAAACUAAUGAAUAAAUGAAUACACAAUACCUUUCCAUGGACAGUGAUGAAAUAACACCAAGUAGAAGAGAGCACACAGAAGGGAUGGAACAUGCUUUGGGUGGCCCUCCUAGGGCUCCCAGCCCUUUCUGUUUCAGCUCCAGUCAUGCUCCCAUUGAUUUCCAACUGUCAGCAUCUGUUUCUUUUUGCCUGGGGGCUUUUUCUGCAUCUUCAAAGACCACUGUCCAGUAAGGAAAAUCACAUCUUCUUCAAACCCAGUGGAAUUAAGCCAACACCUGAUAAGAGUUGGUGUCUAAAUACCCCCCUUCCCUCCCCCGUUGGGUGGAAUAACUGAUACUUUUUAUUUAUUCAUAUUGGUUUUUAGGGUCAUACCUGCGGCAUAUGGAAUUUUCCAGGCUAGGGGUCGAAACAGAGCUGCACUACACCACAGCCUAUCAAUGCCAGAUCCAAGCCGGGUCUGCAGUUUACACCAUAGCUCACGGCAACGCUAGAUCCUUAACUCACUGAGCAGGGCCAGGGAUCAAACCCGCAACCUCAUGGAUACUAGUCAUGUUCGUAACCUGCAGAGCCAUAAUGGGGAUUCCUGGGUGGAAUAACUCUGAGACAGUUUUAAAUCAUUUCAAAGAAUUCUCCUGAAUGCCCCCCCCCUUUCCUGUCCCACUUCUUAUUUCCCUAUCACUAAUUUAUGAACUUCCCAGAUAAAGGGUUUACACAUUGACAUGGGGUCUGGUUCUGAGGGAAACCAAGUCAAAAAACAUAUACGAAGAAUACAGAGGUUAACAUGGACUCUGGCUAGUCCAAGAAAGUCAGUAAGACCUUUUGCCAGGCUGCC